rnacentral:pre_miRNA from 12 species
GAAGCAGAGAGAAGUAUAGGUAGGCCACAGUGGCAGUGUGGUUAGCUGGUUGUUUAGUCACAGCAACAGCCAGUAACGCCACUGCCUCUGCGUCUUGCCUGAAGCCGCAAAAGAAAUCU